rnacentral:RNase_P_RNA from 1 species
AAAGCAGGCUGGGCUGCCGCGCGUGUUCGCACGUGAGGAAGGUCCGGACUCCACAGGGCAGGGUGACGGCUAACGACCGUGCGCGGUGACGCGACGAACAGGGCCACAGAGACGAGCAAGCGCCCGCAAGGGCGCGGACGUGAAACGCGGUAACCUCCACCCGGAGCAACAUCAAAUAGGCACGCGAUGAAGGGGCCCCUCGAGCGUGCGGGUAGAUGGCUAGAGGCACGCAGCAAUGCGUGUCCCAGAUGAAUGGCAGCCACGCGGGGCAACCCGUGCACAGA